CCCAAUUCCCUUGCGCCGAAUCCCUUCUUCCCCCGAGCCUCACCUCACGACACACCUCCUUCACCGAGCUCUCCCUCCUUCUUCGCUCUCCCUCGCGAGUUCCCGCACCAGCGGUCGGCAAGCUUCUCUUCUCCUCACGCGACGCCACCCUCCUUCACCUAGCUCUCCCUCCUUCUUCGCUCUCCUUCGCGAGUUCCCGCACCAGCGGCCGGCAAGCUUCUCCUCUCCUCACGCGACGCCACCCUCCCUCCGGCUUGAGGAUCGAAUCGGAGUGGCGAAUGAAGGUUCAUCAGCGGCGGAACCCUAGCAAUUUGUCCUUGCCGCAGUCGUUCACUCUAACGCCGCCCCUCUCUUGAUCCGAGGCCGUUGCUGCGCCGCACCCCACCUAUUGGCCAUCAUCGAGUCAUCUCUACACACGACGACAGCCGGGUUGUCCUUGCGCACGACGGUCACCAAGAUUCCUCUACGCGAUCUUCCUAUGCCAGCGGUGAGCAUUAGCUUCGUCGUUGCCAGAUGCAUCUGUUGUCAGCCCAACUCAUUGACGCCAUGUCCGAUCUCAGCCUUGUUGCGCUCUAGUGUCACCAUCAAGGGAAGGGAAUGUGUUGUUAGCUACCGUGAUCGAUCUCGGUAUCUUGUAGGCUUGAUCAGAGUUGGAUAUUGUUUCCAAUACGACCCAAUGGAUUUAGAACGGACACCUUAAGUUGGGAUAUGGAAUCAAGAAGCGGAGGUAUUAAAGCUAAGCUAUGGUUUUGAUUCUAAGUUGAAACGAACUCUUGGACGUGAAGAUAUUCCGCACGAUCUACGUAUAAAGGCGGGUACUUCUUACUUUUUCUCUUUAGUUCUUUGAACUUGAUGCAUGAGCUAUUUUUGGAUAAGGACCAUUUUACCUUGACUCCACUCUUAUUUUCUUGCGCCUGAUACUUUCACUCAAACUUUUGACUUAUUCGUUUCUAUAUCCAUACAGUCUCUUAUUGUCAUCUAUGAUAUUUAGCAGAUAUUGGAUACCAUGUUUGCAUGUUUUGAUUGUUGUUUAGUUCUGUUCUGUGUUGAGCAUGCUGACUUCAUGUAGCAUACCUGAUUCUUGUUUAUAUAUAUAUAUGAUGAUUGUUGCAUUUGGUGCAAUAUAUCAUGGCAGACAUGUCAACGACCAAUUCUCCCUUGCGGUCGAGAGAGUCGUUGAC